UUCCCGGGGUGUGUGUGCGGUUAUCCCGCGGGUGUGUGCAGGAAUUCCCUGGAUAAGUGUGCGGUUAUCCCGCGGGUGUGUGCAGGAAUUCCCUGGAUAAGUGUGCGGUUGUUCCGCGGGUGUGUGUAGGAACUCCCCGGAUAAGUGUGCGGUUAUCCCGCGGGUGUGUGCGGGAAUUCCCUGGAUAAGUGUGCGGUUAUCCCGCGGGUGUGUGCAGGAAUUCCCUGGAUAAGUGUGCGGUUAUCCCGCGGGUGUGUUUAGGAACUCCCCGGAUAAGUGUGCGGUUGUUCCGCGGGUGUGUGUGCGGGAACUCCCCAGAUAAGUGUGCGGUUGUUCCGCGGGUGUGUGCAGGAAUUCCCUGGAUAAGUGUGCGGUUAUCCCGCGGGUGUGUGCAGGAAUUCCCUGGAUAAGUGUGCGGUUAUCCCGCGGGUGUGUGUAGGAACUCCCCGGAUAAGUGUGCGGUUAUCCCGCGGGUGUGUGUAGGAACUCCCCGGAUAAGUGUGCGGUUAUCCCGCGGGUGUGUGCAGGAACUCCCCGGAUAAGUGUGCGGUUAUCCCGCGGGUGUGUAAUUUACGGAGGGCCCCGAGGUUUCUCCGCCCUCCCGCAGCCCAAGCGCCGCUCCCGGCGGGCUCUGCCCGGCGCAGGAAGGAUCAGGAUGAGCUGUAGGAUUUGGCCAUAGUAAAUACAAGUGUACUUAGAGGAACCGACGUAUUGCUGAGAUACUGGCUAAGAUUGAGUCGUCACAAAAAAGUAAAAAGUAACUUUCCAGCAGAUAAGCUUUAAACACUGAUUAAUUCUGUGGCUUUCUGAGGCCACAGAGCGGCAACAAGAAAUCUUAAAGAGAACAGUUUCAAUAUAAUCUCUGUGUUUCAGUGAUCAGUCAUGUCUGCCAUCAGCACAAAUGUAAAAAGAAGAAAAAUCAGGGAUUUUUUUUUUAAUAAAGUAAUAGUGAUUUCCAAGUUAAAUAUUUUUAGAGCUGAUGCUUUCAUGUGGAAAAAAAAGUCAUAUUUUACAUAUCACGAAAGUGAACGUAUUUAAAUAUAGCCAUAUAGUGUAGUAUUUACCACACUCUCAUUCAAAUUGAUGUAUUUGGUUUAUAGAUGGCACUGACAAAAAUGUAUAAAUCAACAAUUCUAUCAUUUUUUAUCUGACAGUCAACUGGUGCAACUCUCCUUGUAACCAAAGGCCCUCUGUCUGCCUUGCGUGAUCGCUCAUGACACACACCUUAUCAUCUAUUUAGUCCUACCUUUAAAGUAGCAUUUUACCGAGUCACUUUUGAAAGCCAAAUUCAAAAGUAUCAUUUAAAAAAAUCUUCCUUUUAAGUCUGAAUAGCCAAAGUCCUAUAGAUUUCUUAUAGAAAGCAAAUAAUUUAAAAUUUAGCAUAUAAUAUGCUUGAAGAGCAUUUCUUUCUUAUUUGUGUAUAAAGAUGUAGCUCUCAUUUUGUGCCCAAUUAAAAAGGAAGUAUGUUUAAUUUAUUUUAAUGAAAUAAAGUCUGAAUACGAAGUAUGUAUCUAUAUAUGUGUGUGUGUGCAUAAUACACAUAUAUAUAAUGUAAGCACUGGGAAAUCUACUCUAACCUAAAGCUGUGCUAGACUAAAUCUGUACUCAUUGCAAAGGAAAGGCAAUGCUUUGAAAACACAAUGCUCACUAAAUGCUACAGACCCUAGCAGGACAAGUUAAUUUUUGUUUGUUUAAUAUGUUUCCCAAAGUUCACAGCGACUGGGGAAAACAGGCAACACCUCUUGCAUGGAGCUAAAGCGUGGGGUUGAAUCGUUCAGUCACUGAGACUUGGCUUCAGGUCUGCACAUUUACUGUGCACCAAGUGUCGAGCAAGCUGCCAGAGCCUCACGUGCUGCUGCAGAAGACAUCACACCUGCAAGGACCCUCUCUGCACGGGUGAUGUCUGCACUUGCUCGUAUCUUACGCCAUCAACAUCACUUUUAACACAUACAUACAUACAUAUAUGUAUGUGUGUAUGUGUGUGUGUGUGUGUGUGUGUGUGUGUGUGUGUGUGUGGAAGGAGAGGGUGUUGUUUUCUUAACCAGGAGGCUAAAGAUUCCCUGAGUUUUGGCCUUGAACAGAGGAAAAAAGCAGUGACUUUGCAGUAGAUUUCUCAGUGCCUUUUUUAAAAAACUUCACCUAAGCACACUUAUGGAAAAAAACCCAACCCAAAACAAGAGAGUCUCCUGUGAAAUCCACAUUUUUUAUGAAAGGUUUGAGAGCCAAAAAAAAAAGGUAGAAGAAAGGAAAAAAAUAAAAGCAAGAGAGAGGAAAAGCAAUCUGUGGAACGCACAUUCCCUUCCUGAACAUGCCGUGUGUCAAAUGCCGGGGAAUUUCUGCCUGGGCGAGUCAUGAGAAACAUCUGAGGCGGUCAGGUUGUUUGGCAACUAUGGCUGUGACAAACUGUAGCCUUUUCUUCCCUUGCAGCUAAUAAGAUACACAUUUCUAAGGAAAACAGUAUUCUCUUCUGUAAAAUUGUAAUGUAUUGUUAAUAUUUGUACCUACUGUAUAUUUAUGUCUUGACAGAAUUCUGACCGGUACAGUUUAUAGUCAAUAAGGAGGUUAUGUAAAACUCAUCACAAAGGUUUCUAAAGCCACGUUCUCUCUGUUGGUGAGCUCCACACAACACCUCAUCCCAAAGCAAACCCUGCAAUUCCUGGGGAAGGAGGCCCAGAGGGGCUUCCCUGGGCUCCAAAGCAGCCCCAGCCCCCAUGAGUGGUCAGUCAUUCUGCACACAACAAGUGCUACCUUGGGUUCGUUUGGAUCACCCAUUUGGGGAGAAUAUGGCUUUAAAGAGUUCUUGAAUAAAGUACAGAUGUUCUGGUUACCUCUGUACUUCCUGCUUGCCAUUGUGUUGGCUUUAUAAGUACCUGAUGUAUGGAAAAGUCGUGUGACUUUCAUGCAUUCCAGAGUAGUCUAUUUUUCUGUUCAGAUUGAAAAAAAAUUAUAUAUAUAUAUAUAAAUAUAAAUAUAUAUCUGUAUUUUUAGCAAAUUUAUAAUAGGGCAAUCAAGUCAGAUUUCUUCUUUUGUAUUACAGAAUAAUAUAUUAGAAGCUCUCUCAGUGUUCAUUUACACAGCUGAUCCCCCAACAUUUUGUUGUUGUUAUUUUCUUUUUUUCUGAUAAACACCUGCAACAUUCCUCCUGGAAGUGCAUCUGUGAAAGGUCAUGGGGUUUGUCUGAUGUUGCAUGUUUUUGUAUUUUCCUGUUUGUGCUACUUUAACCAGGGACUGGCUAUGGGAACUGAGAUAUUCCUGCUGGGGAAUGUGAAGCAGGCCAGACUGCCCUGGUGACAGCAGGGGAAGGGCACCCAACACGCCUGGCUGCAGUUCCUCCAGAUUACAUCAAGAACAGAAAGAAGAGACAGGCUUUGAAUCUAAUUGUCCUAAUAGUGACAUGAUGGAGUUGGGAUAAGCAUCAAAAUCCAGGCUCUUAUUCAAGGCAGCGACCUGACAAUGCUCAGGCACCUUCAGGGAAGCUUUUCCUGGAUUAAAACAGAAGGGUCCAGACUUCUCUUUCCCACUGGGUUUUGGAAUUUUUAUUUUUGGUCCCAGAGGAAAUCAGGAAAUGAAAAAAAAAAUUGUGGAGGAAUGAGAAGUGUGAACAUUCAAAAAGGGACCAGAUUUUGAUUUAGUUAUGGUAAAAUCUGUCUGUGUCCACGUACCUGCUUAUGUAAUGAUCUUCUUUGCUCCUUUGUAGCUGUACCCACAGGCAUAUUCACAGAAAUUUAAUAAGAAGUCCAUGAGAUAAAUGUUCAUCCUGAAGCUAUCUCAUGGCCUGUUGAAAUUUAGCACGAUGAAGAACUUCAGAGCCACUCUAGCUCUGCACAGACAUUUCCUUCUGAUUCAGCCCAGAAGUUUGGGCAGUGACCGUGCUUUUGCCAGAGAUGGAGUUUUGGUUCCAUUUCCUUUCGUUUGUUUGUGAGAUUUUCUUCCAUGUCCACUAUAAUAGCCAAUAAACCUGACACAGAUGUAAUUUGGAAAGGUGUGUGUUUCAGAAAGUCCAGGUAUCCCUCGAAUGAAAGGAAGACACUAGACCCAGUUCUGCAUGUGACUAUCAGCAAGACCUGUUCACAAAUGAAGGUAUUAAAGUUGGGUGGGAUUUUUCUUUCUUAGGAAGCAAUUAAUGCAAUAGGCUGCCAUAUCUAUCGUCAGCAAUCACACAAAUCCCUUCAAAAGGCGCCUUCCAUGUCAGCAAGUUUGUUAGAGCAUAGUCAACAAAACCACAGAAUGCUUCUGGUCAGCCCACUCUUACCUCUGCCCUCCCACACCAGGGCAGGAGCAGCCCAAAUGCCCCAAAUGAAGAAGAGAUGUUUAUUUUCCAGCAAGGAUCUUGCACCCCAUGCUGAUCACAUUUAGGCUCUUGCACUGAAACUUUGUCUCGGCCAGGCAAAGGAAACCUUAGGAAAACUGAAAAUCUGCAUCCAGGAUGAGAUCCUGUUCGUUCCUGGAGUUACCUAAGCCACAGUAAGUGUCCUUUGACACCAAUGGUUGGGUGCCACAAGUGUUCAUAUCUGUAAAUACUACUCCAAAUUUUGCUUUGCUUGAUUCUGGCUUCAUUGCACAAGAAUUUUUCAGUCUUAGAAGCUUAGAAGAGAAAGCAAAACCUCCUUUGUUUUAACUAAAAUAAUACUGUUGAUGCUCUGUAGGACUGAACAAGGACUAACCUUUAUUUUUAAAGGGGUCUUUCCAACAGUGCAGUGACACUACCUUCAAAAAUUAAUAAGGCUGAGCUCCGUACAAAGAGCCCUCAAAACUAGAGCCUCAUGAAAGCCAAGAAGCCAAAUUUGUAUGAAAUGCUAAAUUCUUUGCUGCUGUAAGUUAAAGCCCAUUGAGGCCAAUGGAGCUGUGCCCCCUUUAGAUCAGUAAAGAAUUUGGAUCCAUACCUCUAAAAGCUAAUGGAAAAUUAAUCACUUUGUACAGGCUCAGGGCUGGAGGUGUCUGCCCACAGCACCUCCUUGGAAACCAGUGGGCUGAGGGAAUGGGAAACAGAAGCAGGUCAGGGAAAGCCUGGGAAAGGGGGAAUCCUUCAGACAGGAGGGUGGCAGCCACUGCAGCCACGACUGAGCAUCCCCACGGCAGCACACUGUGCACCUGAUGGCACGAGCAGGUCCCACUCACAGGUGACUGUCUGUCUGUCCCUCCAGCAGGUCCCACUCACAGGUGACUGUCUGUCUGUCCCUCCAGCAGGUCCCACUCACAGGUGCCUGUCUGUCUGUCCCUCCAGCAGGUCCCAGACUCACAGGUGACUGUCUGUCUGUCCCUCCAGCAGGUCCCACUCACAGGUGACUGUCUGUCUGUCCCUCCAGCAGGUCCCAGACUCAGCCCCACAGUUCAGCACUCUGCCCUCGGCCCAGGAUUGCUGGAGCUGAGAGGACACUGCCAGCAGAGGGGCCAUGGGUUACCUGGAAUUGUGGCACAACCUCUGGUCCUGUUGCUAAUCAAUAUUUAAGACCAUUCAUCCGUUCUUCUCUGCACUGUGUUUUUCAUUUAGGAGCUCUGCCAUUUAUGACUCUUCUUCCUGUUAUGUUUUACUGCCUCCACAUACUCUUCACCACACGUUGGCUCCUGCAACCUCUGUGAUUUAUUUUGUUUAUGUCAGUUUUUUGUUGGCUUAUGAGGAACAUUUUUUCCCCCAUUCUCUGGCUUUUUGGUGGUCGGUGCAGAAAAUUACUUUUGCAUUGAACCAUUCUGCAUUGGUGUAUUUGGGGGGAGGGUGGGAGAGCAGCAUCUCCAUUUCACUUUGAAUUUUGAAGCCAUGAUACGGCACUCAGAAAGGCCAGCCACAGCUACCAACCAAACUCUCUUCCCAACUAGAUUAGCAUUAAAAAAUCCACCCCCACUUCCUGCAGCAGAAUCCUGCUCUCUCAUCAGGCCACUGAAGCAGUUUUGGAAAAGGGGGAAAACAUCAGCACAUCAGCGAGGGCUGCGGGUGCUGCUCAGUGAUGUCCCCGUGCCCGAGGCUGUGGUGCCACCAGGGCUGGGCCAGGGCCCAGGCAAAGGGACAUCCCCAAAGGGCAGCCCUAAGUCACUGUGGGGUCCUUUUAAAAGAGAAAGUGAUACUUAAUGACAAAUGAAAACUGGAAAAUGUGUUUCCUGUGGCUCUGCUGGUACAUUUAGAUCAAAUUGCUUUUACAGCUGAAACUGAAACUGGCUGUGACCCAGAAAGGGCAGACUGGGACCGGUUUCUCCAUUGCCUUGCACUGAGUUAUUUCUUAACCCACGCAGUGGGGAAUCACUGGGGAGCCCAGCUCAGCGUGUCUGUAAGGAAGGGCAGUGCUUGUGCCCCAUAGCCCAGCAGAUCCUGCAUGUCUUGCACAAUCUCUUCAUUGGGUUAUAUUGGAAAUCACUCAAUUCAUCAGUUAUACUGGUCCAAUGCACCAGCAGAUGUUUUCUUCCCUUUUAAGAAAUGUUUCAAUGCCCUGGCACGUUGGGGUGAUUACAGCAACAUUAGCCAUAUACUAGUGUACUUAGAGUCUUACAUUUUUUGUAACUUUGAUUUAGUCAUUCUUUGUUGAAGUUUAUUGACCUCUCCAGUUGUUUCUGUAAAACAAAUUAUUAAAAAAAAAAAUCCGUGUCUUUAUAUGCAUGUAAUAAUAUGAAACUGUGAUCAAUGUGUGACAUUCAGAAACUGUACUGUCUUGUAAAAUAUGUCCAAAUGUCUAAGGGUUUUAAAGCAAUGGUCCCUUACUACAGCCUACAGAAAUAAAUAAAAAGGAAUGGAAAAACCUAAA